ACGAUCCUCACGUGGAGUUUUGGAGCAACUCUCCUUCAAACUCUCCAAACUUCACAACUUUGAGUUUUUAGCUUAAAACCUUCAAAAUACCAUAAAAACUAAUCAAAUCUUUGCAAGAUUUAAUGAAAACAUGAAAGAACACUCACAAAGGACAGGGUCUCACCUCAGAAGACAAAAGAAACGGUGCUCUUACCGCUUCAACCGACUGAGGGCCAUUUAUAGGUGGUUGGCCAGACCACCUUCGGCGGCCACACGUGAAACCGAAAGCCAUGCAUGUUCGGCGGCCGAACCUCAACUUCGGCGGCCGAACCUGGCUUUUCUGCCUUGGUUCAUUUCAUUCACAAACUCAGUUCCUUAAGCUUUAAAAUUAUGAAACAUAGUAAAACAUGUUAGAAAAACAUCAAUCGAACCCUGCUAGAGACUUCCGACAUCCCGGACGCCACCGGAAAGAAGAAUUCCGACGCCGGACUCUCGCCGGGUAUUACAUUCUCCCCCCUUAAGAACAUUCGUCCUCGAAUGUCCUAAAACAAACAAGUAACACAUAAAAAAGGAGGAAACUAACCUCAAAACAAAUAUGGAUACUGCUGGAGCAUCAACUCCCGCGUCUCCCAGGUGCACUCUUCUAGAUUAUGGUGGUUCCACAGAACUUUCACCAUUGGGAGCUCUUUGUUCCUUAGCUGUCUAAUCUGUGUGUCCAGAAUCCGCACUGGCUGCUCUAUAUAGGUGAGAUCUGUAAGAAUCUCCACCUCAGGCUCACUUAGAACCUGAUUCGGAUCUGACACAAACUGUCGAAGCAUAGAAACAUGAAAUACCGGAUGAAUUCUCUCCAUAGAAGCAGGUAAAUCCAGCUUAUACGACACAUUUCCGAUCCUCUGCAAAAUCUCAAAGGGUCCAAUGUAUCGUGGGGCUAACUUACCCUUCUUCCCAAAACGAACCACUCCUUUCAUUGGAGACACUUUAAGCAAUACCCAAUUACCCUCUUGGAACUCUAACUGCUUUCUGCGAACGUCUGCAUAACUUUUCUGUCUACUCUAUGCUGUUCUGAUUCUCUCUCUGAUCAUGGGCACCACUCUACUGGUAAUCUCUACUAACUCUAGCCCUGCAAGAGCCUUCUCUCCUAUCUCUUCCCAGCACACAGGGGAUCUGCACUUCCUCCCAUACAAAGCUUCAUAAGGAGCCAUCCCUAUGCUAGCAUGAUGGCUGUUAUUGUAGGCAAACUCCACCAAAGGUAGAUGUUGCCGCCAAGAACUGCCAAAGUCUAACACACACAGUCGAAGCAUAUCCUCUAUGGUCUGGAUGGUCCUUUCUGACUGUCCAUCAGUCUGUGGGUGGAAAGCAGUGCUAAAAUCUAACCUCGUGCCCAUCGCACUCUGCAGACUCCGCCAAAAUCUAGAGGUAAACUGAGGUCCUCUGUCUGAAACUAUAGACACUGGAACUCCAUGUAAUCUCACUAUUUCAUCCAGAUAGACCUGUGCCAACUUAUCCACAGAAUAGUAACUCCGAACUGGAAGAAAAUGAGCAGAUUUCGUGAGUCUGUCCACAAUCACCCAUAUAGAGUCUAUCCUGUUGGACGUUACUGGUAAACCCACUACAAAAUCCCUAGCUAUGUUCUCCCAUUUCCAUUCUGGAAUCGGCAAUGGGUUAAGCAUUCCAGCUGGUUUCUGAUGCUCUAGUUUCACCCUUUGGCAAACCUCACAGGCUGUCACAAAUUGUGCCACUUCUUUCUUCAUGGCUAGCCACCAAUAGACCCUUUUCAGAUCCUGAUACAUCUUGGUGGCUUCUGGGUGAACACUAUACCGCGCAUUAUGAGCUUCCCUCAUAAUGUCUUUCUUCACACUGCUCCUAUCUGGUACACAAAGUCGACUUCCAUAACGGAGGAUCCCUUUGCUGUCAAAUCUGAACUCUGCACUGUUGCCUGACUGAACAGUCCUGGCAAUUUUCAUCAACUCUGGGUCCUCGUGCUGUCUCUGAGCUAUCUGCUCCAGAAACACAAGUGUCACUCUCAUCUGUGCUAUCAACGCACCUGUACCAGACAACUCUAGCUGUAACCCCUCUUCUAAGAGCUUGUAAAGCUCCAUCACAACUGGUCUCCGCUCUACUACUAUAUGGGAUAAACUACCUCGUGAUUUCCGGCUUAGGGCGUCUGCCACAACAUUCGCCUUACCCUGAUGAUACUGGAUCUUACAAUCAUAAUCACUGAGCAAUUCUACCCAUCUUCUCUGCCUCAAAUUCAGCUCUCUCUGACUCAAGAUGUACUGUAAACUCUUGUGAUCGGUGAAGAUCUCGCAUUUAACUCCGUAGAGGUAAUGCCGCCACAUCUUAAGUGCAAAGAUAACUGCUGCCAUCUCUAGGUCAUGGGUAGGGUAAUUCUACUCGUGCUUCUUCAACUGUCUAGAAGCAUAAGCUAUCACCCUAUCACUCUGCAUCAAAACACAACCCAAGCCCACUCGAGAUGCAUCACAGAAUACUGUGAAAUCCUCAUUACUGACAAGCAGAGCUAACACUGGUGCUGUUGUCAAUCUCCUCUUGAGCUCCUCAAAGCUCUCAUCGCAAUGGUCUGACCAGACAAACUUCUGGUUCUUCUGAGUCAGUUUGGUCAUAGGAGCUGCUAUCUUUGAGAAGUUCUGAAUGCACUUCCUGUAGUAACCUGCCAGUCCCAGAAAGCUUUUAAUCUCAGUCACUGUAGUGGGUCUGGGCCAGUUAGCUACAGCCUCUAUCUUCUUGGGGUCUACCUCAAUACCCUCUGCUGAUACCACAUGUCCCAAGAAGGAAAUGCUCCUCAACCAAAACUCACACUUCGAGAACUUGACAUACAAACCAUGCUCUCUCAGUGUCUGCAGAACUAUCCUCAGAUGCUGGGCAUGCUCCUCUGCAUCUCUAGAAUACACUAAUAUAUCAUCGAUAAAAACAAUGACAAAGUGAUCCAGAAACUCACUGAAUACUCUGUGCAUGAGAUCCAUGAAUGCUGCAGGGGCAUUAGUCAACCCGAACGGCAUCACUAAGAACUCAUAAUGCCCAUAUCUGGUCCUGAAAGCUGUCUUUGGUACAUCUGCCUCUCUGACUCUCAACUGAUGAUAUCCGGAUCUCAGAUCUAUUUUCGAGAAACAACCUGCUCCAGCUAGCUGGUCAAACAGAUCCUCAAUCCUAGGUAGCGGAUACCUAUUCUUGGUAGUGACCUUGUUCAACUGUCUGUAGUCAAUACAAAGUCUGAGGGAUCCAUCCUUCUUUCUGACAAAGAGCACUGGAGCACCCCAAGGUGAGGUACUAGGGCGGAUGAAACCCUUAUCUACCAAGUCCUGCAACUGUUCUUUUAACUCUUUUAACUCUGCUGGCGCCAUCCUGUAGGGAGGAAUAGAGAUAGGUCUGGUAUCAGGCAACAAUUCUAUUUCAAACUCUAUCUCCCUACCAGGUAGUAGUCCUGGAAGUUCGUCUGGGAAAACAUCGAGAAACUCUCAGACUACUGGUACUGUAGCUGGUUCCCUAACCUGACUGUCUAGCUCUCUCACAUGAGCUAGAAACCCCUGACAACUCCUCCUAAGCAAACGACGAGCCUGAAGGGCUGAAAUCAUACCUCUGGGUGUACCUCUCCUGUCUCCUCUGAAGACACACUCUGACCCAUCCUGGUCCCUGAGACUAACUAUCUUCUCUCUACAGUCCAAAGUAGCACUAUAUGCAGAUAGCCAAUCCAUCCCUAGAAUGACAUCAAAAUCUGUCAAGUCUAGAACCACAAGGUCAGUUGGAAGGCAUCUACCCUCUAUGAACACUGGACUGAAACGACAGACUGACACUGCCACUGAUGAGUCACAUUUAGGUCCACUGACCCAGAGAGGAUACUCUAACUCAGAACUGAUCAAACCCAAUCUCUCUAUGGCUCUCGAAGCAAUAAAGGAAUGAGAAGCACCGGGGUCCAUCAAAGCAUACACAUCUGAACACCCAAUGAUGAGAUUACCUGACACCACUGUGUUCGACGUGUUAGCCUCCUCUUGUGUCACAGUGAAAAUCCGUGCUGGGGCUACCGAAUUUCCACCUCGGGAACCUACUGCUGAAGUAGAGGCUGCCCCUCUCCCUCUACCUCUACCACUACUCUGAGGCAUGACUGGAGCUGCUGGCUGCACCACACUGCCUGAACUCAUCUGCUGGGAUGGUGUAAAAGUCACCUGAGGACAAUCCCGAGCAAUAUGCCCUUCCUGUCCACAUCUAAAACAAGCUGUAGAUCCCAACCGACAAACUCCUCCAUGUGGUUUUCCAUAUCUUCUGCAUACGGGAGCUGUGCCAGAGCUUGAGCCACUACCUAUUCCCAGACCUGACUUGACUUUAUUCCAGAACUUACUCUUUGUUCCUUUUUCUCUAUCCCAUCUCUUGCUGCCUGAAGGUGCUGAACUGGGGGCUUUCGAACCCGAAGCCUGUGCCUUUGACUGUUUUUGAAUAUUGGCACUAGCUUCCAUUUUCCUGGCUGCGUCCACUAUCGUGUGGAAACUCUCCUUUUCUGCUGGAAGAAUCAAGGAAGAAUACCUGGGAUGCAGUCUCAUAGUAUAUCUCCUUGCCUUCUUCUGAUCAGUAUCAUAGGCUUGACCCAUAUACUGAAGCAAAUCCAAGAACUUAUCUGUGAAUUCAUCAACACUCAUUUCAUCUGUUUGUCGCAACUGUUCAAACUCUAUUAUUUUCAUCUCCCUCAAACUGUCAGGAAAAGCCAACCCUGCAAACUCAUUGGUGAACUCUCCCCAAGACAUCCUGGUCAUCCUGGGUUCCACAUAAUUCUUGAACCAUUCUCUGGCUUUCUUGCAUUUAAGUGUAAACCCUGCCAUCUCAAUGGCUCUACUAUCAUCAGCUCCCAAUUCACUAGUUAUCAUCCUAACUGAUCUGAGGUAGUCAAAUGGAUCAUCUCCCGUGUUAUAUUUCGGAGCAUCCAAUUUCAAGUACUCCGUCAUUUGCACUUUACCUCCAGAUGAGCUAGGUUGAUGUCUGUCAACAACAGGGGCUACUGGUUCUGGUGGUACUGGGUCAUUUAGCUCUGGGUGUGCUACACUUGGAUGAGUAGGGGAAGGGGGAUACAUAGAAUAUGGUGGAUAGUAAGGAGGAUAAGGCAUAUAUGGCAUGUAAGGAGGAUAUGGGACAAAACUAGAGUACUCCGACAUACCUCCCAUCGGAUACUCUGGGUCCUGUGGAAAGGCUGGAUAACCAAAACCUGAGGCCUGAGCACCUCCCUGUGACUCUCCCAUACCUUCCUCAAAUCGGCCUAUACCCAUACUGUCAUCUCUAGACUGGUCAAUCUCCAUUGCCUCCCUCCUUUCCUCUGAUCUUUCUCCUCUCGCUGUUCCCCUUCUGCUCUCGUCUACAGACCUUCUAGGGUCUAUUGACGUACCAUCCCUGCUAGAUCUCUGAGACCUUGCCCUUGGCAAUGCAGGAGGACGAGCAGUUGGUCUCUCACUAUCUGGUGGGACUCCAGUCAAUCGAGCUGAUCGACGAGUUCCUCGCAUCGUUACUCGCUGAAAAACAACACAUAACAUAGCACUUUAGCACAUAAACAUCAAUAAAGCACAUGCAUAACUCAUGGCAUAUCAUAGCAGUAAACAGAUAGGACUCAAGACCCUAUCCUAGUGGACAUGAUUUCCUAUUGUGCUUGACCACUUCUACCCUGUAUGAGCCCAACACCGACUCUAUAGGUCCGAUCAUGUGAACCUAGGGCUCUGAUACCAAUCUGUAACGACCCCAAAAUGGACCGUCACCGGUGCUAGGAUUCAGGUCGGCUUAAGGCCGCCAGAACCCGUAGCAAGCCUGCUCUACUAUCUGUGUACCUGUAAAACUCAUACAUGAUCAUACAUUUUAUGUGAAAAUAAAAACUCUUUGCUCUGAACCAAGGCUUAACCUGUGCAUGCACUAUCUCUGUACUCUGUACUCUGUACUCUGUACUCUAUACUCUGUACCCCUGACUAGAGCUUGCUCUAGAUGGGUUAACUCAUACCUGUUAAGCUUGGUUUUCACAUAAAGUAAACAGAUAUACAUAUCCAGAUCAUGUUAUGAACAACAUCACUAAGUCAAGCACAUCUCUAACUGUAUACACAACUAUUACAUCUUUUUCAUAAUACAUGUCCACUCUAAGCUAUUACAAGUCUCUUUACUCUUUACUCUUUUGGCAUUCAGCUGCUCUCCUCGCUAUACUGUACACUGAACCUGCAAAACUGGGGUUAAGGGAGUGGGAUGAGCUCUAUAGCCCAGUGAGUAGAACAGGAAAAUAUCUCAUUAAAAUAUGAUCUCAUGGAAUGCGUCAUAACACAGACAAACCACAUCAAGAGUAAACCUGUCACCACAUAGUCCCAGUAACUCUGUGCCAGGGCGGAGAAUCGAGCACCUGGUCUUCCUGUCAUAUAUGUAUAUGUGUAUAUAACACCUCUGUACUUACCAUUGCCAUGGCGUAGUCAAAGGCUCCUGGUCUUUACUAUAACUGCCAGGGCGUAGUCAAAGGCUCCUGGUCUUUACUAGACCUGCCAGGGCGUAGUCAAAGGCUCCUGGACUUCCUGUCUGAGACUAUUGGAUCAUUCAGCAUUCACUCACAUCAUCAAAUAAUUAUGCAAUGCAACAUAUUCGUGACUGCUAAUGCAAACAACCUGCUGUAUACUCAUGAUGCAUGAACUAUGCCGAAAGCAGUUUAUGUCUCAAUUAACAGUAUUAAGUUUAGUUCCACUCACCUCUGGCUAUCUGGACGGACUGACUCUGCAGGUUCUGAACACUCUGGAGCAGUACUCACUGCUGCUCCCUCUGGUUCCUCUGGUCUGUACCUAUACAGAUGGACUCAAAUGAGGGACCAAACUAGCUUAUGAACAACACUAUGAAACUCCCCAAGAAUCCCCUUAAUCUCACUCUAACAUCCAUGCAAAGCAUGCAAAGGAAAGCUGGACAGGACACUUUCGGCGGCAGGUUCGGCGGCCGAAAGUCCUCUCCAGAGACGAAACUCAAGCACCUUCGGCGGCCGAACUUCCACUUUCGGCAGCCGAACCCUUUCGGGGGCAAGUUUCGGAGGCUGAAAGGCACUCCAGAGACGAAAGUCUCUAACCUUUGGCAGCACCUUCGGCGGCCGAACUUCCCUCCAAAGCCGAAAGUCCAAAAGCUCGGGGGCAAGCUUGGGCAGCCGAAGCCACCUCCUCAUGGGUUCGGCUGCCGAAUGUACCUUCGGCGGCCGAACCUGUGUUCAUCAGCAGGGCAGAAACUUGCCCUGCCUCUCGCCAAAUGCACCAAACUCCUCUCCAACUUCACACCGCACUUCCUCAACUUGCAUACACUCUGGUAUAUGCUCAAAGGGGUCAAAAACUACCUAACAACCCCAAACAUACAACACAAACAACAUAGAAACAAGCUCUAUGCACAAAAUCAUCAAAACCGCUCGUUUUACCCUAUUCAUGCAAGUCUCUCUACAAACCCCAUAAAACCUUCAGAAAACAUAAAAACAAGCUCAGGAUCUUCACUUACCUCUUGAAACCAAGAAGAUGAACGAUCCUCACGUGGAGUUUUGGAGCAACUCUCCUUCAAACUCUCCAAACUUCACAACUUUGAGUUUUUAGCUUAAAACCUUCAAAAUACCAUAAAAACUAAUCAAAUCUUUGCAAGAUUUAAUGAAAACAUGAAAGAACACUCACAAAGGACAGGGUCUCACCUCAGAAGACAAAAGAAACGGUGCUCUUACCGCUUCAACCGACUGAGGG
rnacentral:lncRNA from 1 species